rnacentral:misc_RNA from 1 species
AAAGAAAUCAAAGAAAAUUACUGAUAAAAUAAGGGGAAUUUUAUUUUAAAAAAAUAAGUAUGCAAAUAAUCCCCAAUUUACAGGGAGGGGAAAAAAGGGAUGAAUGAUUGUCCUAUGAUUGGGUCACAAAUAAUACAAAUGGAUUUACAUGAUGGUCCCAGUAAUCUUACAAUUUCAGUAGUUACAUUGUCAUUUGCUAACUUGGUAAAGCCUAUUUUCUUGCUUCUACUCAAUAUCUUUUACAGCAUCCUUAGCAAGCCUUGUCACAUACGCUGCAGCUAAUGCCGUGGCCAACAAUCCCAGCCCAAAUGUCAACAGUGAAUUGUUCCCUCCAGCUAAUCUAAUAUCAGAUUCUUCCUGGAUAAUUGCACGGCCAAAUGAGCCAGUACUCACAUAUGCCCAUGUUCCUGGAAGCAUUCCCAACCAACUGUGCAACAAUCAAAACUUAAUUAGUAGGAGACAUUUCAACAAGAUUCUGCAAGUAAUUAGAUGUAGUUUAUAAGGAACCAGCAAGAAUUUCAAAGUUGCAUACGAAAAUAAGAAUCUUGGUAUUUUAUGCAUCAGAUGUUAUGAAUUACUAUUAGAUUUAUAUUGAAUCAAUAAAUUCCAGACACUUUGGCUAAUGUUGAAUGAUAUUUCAGAACUACUAAAUAAUCCCAUCUUAGUUUUAGAUUUCAGUUCAGUAUUUACUCAACUCAGACCUACACAGAAGGAAGCUAUAUCAUUGAAAAUCUAUACAAGUUAUUUAUCAGAAAUGUGUACUCUGUUAUUAUAUCCUUCAGAAUAUCACUUUAGCAUAUGCAUCAUACCUAGAGAGUAAGGGAAAGGAAAAAGACAAGUCAAUUCAGGCCAAAACAUUACACAGACUGACAUAGGCAGACACAGCAUGAAAACAUUAACGACUUUCAUAUGCUAGUACACAUUAAAUACAAUCAUAUCCCCACAAAUUCUAACCAAAAGCAUAGAAAGUAUGCACAUUCACAAGCAAAUGGAUUACAUAAGGAGGGCAUCCAGUACAAGCAACUAAAGGGACAUCUCAUAACAUAUUUCCAACAGAAAAUCAACUUUAUAACUAGCAAUAAUAAUGGGAUGAGGAAUAAGCAAACCUUCCCAGAACAUAUGGGACAAACUCAACAGAUGUCAAUCCAUACAAAUAAUUCCCCAGGGAAAAUGGAAGCAAAGGGCUCAAACGAAGAAGGGUAACAACUCUGAAUCCAUUUUCACCAAUUGCUUUGUCAAUGGCAAGAAACUUUUUAUUUCCUUCAACCAGUUUAAGAAUCCGCUCACGAGCAAAAUAUCUAGCUAUUAGAAAGGCCACACUAGCAGCAACUGUUCCACUUAUAGAAACGAUAAUGGUGCCAAUAACAGAGCCAAAAAGAAGACCUGCUGACAUGGUUAAUGGAAUUGCUGGAAUUGCAAGGAUUUCCAGUCCUGCAUAAACUGCUACAAAUAAAGCAUAUCCAGCUGGUCCAUAACCUUCAAUAAACCCGGAAAGCUGGUUCAAAAAAGCAUUGAUCUGAUCCUUGUAAACAUAUCCAACAGCGCCAAACCCACCAACAAUACCCACGAGCAAUACCCCAGCCAAAAGGGUACCUUUAACAGCGGUAUUCCCUUGCAAUCCCCCAUCAGCUUCACCAUCACCCUUAAUUUUAUCAUCAUCAGCAGCACCACCACCACCUCCAUCUUUAGGAUUCAAGAACCACCUCAAACUCUGAGGAGCAUUGGUCUUUUGAAGAGUCUGUUGUUUCUUGGUCUGUUUAAGAGAAGAACAAGGACAGAGGAAGUGAAAACGCCUGUUGGGUCUAAGGCUAUAAAGGAAAGAAGUGCAAGAAGGAGGUGAGAAGUGGAAAUUGGAGAUGAAGCAUGGUGGAGGAAAGGAUAAAAGCGAUGUCAGGGUGAGAAGGGAGCGCAUUUUAAUAGGUGAGAGCAGAGUGCAGGCUAAAGAAAGCCACUAGAAGCAGCUCGGUUGGUUGCUGUAGUUGCGGAAACUGGGAACCCUGCCAUGUGAAAAUGAUGAUUGUUGGCUGCGAAGAUUGGUGGUCAGCGUGGAGCUAUUGGGUUUGAUAAGGGAGGUCACUCAGAGGUUCUUUGUGGCUCCCAAUUGAGC